AGCGCAGGCGGCCAAGUCAGUCUGAAGUGAAAUCCCGGGGCUUAACCUCGGAAGUGCUUUGGAUACUACUUGGCUAGAGUACGUGAGAGGUGAGCGGAAUUCCAGGUGUAGCGGUGAAAUGCGUAGAUAUCUGGAGGAACACCCGUGGCGAAAGCGGCUCACUGGCGCGUAACUGACGCUGAGGCUCGAAAGCGUGGGGAGCAAACG
rnacentral:rRNA from 1 species